GUUCAUCUUUCGUGAUUUAUUGUUCGUUGUUGUUUAUUUCGCAAUAUUAUAUUAAACAGAAAUUAAUUUAAACAUUUUGGUAUUUUACCAUAGUCAUGAUCUCUUUUAUGAAAGGCGGGUUAAUAUUAAUUGGCCAGCUACAAAAUUUCAGCAACUACAUAAAACAACCCGUACAUUCUCGUUUUGCCUUAAGUGUUACGUAGCAGGAUGAUGUAAACAAGUUAUCGGAAAUUUCGAGUUACAAACUUUACGUCAACGAAAUUUUGUAGAAACUGAUACAAAAACAUGAUUACUGUAGGAGUUGUUUCGAUUACUAUUGGUCACUAUGAAGAGUAUUUGGUUUGUGUUGGUAGAAGUUAUGAUCGUAGUUGAUUCACAUCGACCGCUGACCGGCAGGGGAAAUAUUGAUCUUAAUUUGACUUCCAGGAAUAAACAAUGGCAGAGGUUCCCUACAGAAUGUGCAUGCCGAAAGUUCCUGAUUACGUUUACGCAACAGCAAGACCGAACAACCCAUCUUUGCCCGACAAGUUUAACGUGACCAUACUUGAAAUUAAAAGACGAUCCUUUGUAGUUAAAUUCGAGAUGGUUGAACAAGCUACAGGAUUGGAUAGAAUGCGGAUAACUGUUGAUUGGUUCUCGUAUAAAUAGGUAACGGAAUGGUUUAUCAGAAUCUGAUCCUUUGGUUCCCGGAUGCUGCAGAUAAAAGAGAAAGGAACCUUAACACGGCAUCGAAGUACUGGAAUGACAAUGACGGUCAAUUGGUGGAAAUUGUGGAUAAAGCAAUGUACGAUGUGGUUUAUAACUACUGUCGACAAACCAUCGUAUAUGGAUCAGAUGAUUGGGUUCGCAUUUGGCUCGGUUCAAGUUACAACACAACGGUAAUGCUAGAUAACACACAUAUCUAACGUAUUUAUUUAUGCUUUACAACAGGGGUUCCCAAACUUAUAAAAUUGCGGGCCAAUAUGUGAAAUCAUAAUUAUGCGACCGGCCGUCAGCCAAGGUUUUCCUCGCUAUAUUUGCGACGCGACUCGUAUUGGCGAAAAUGCGGUUAUAACGAAUACUGUUAGGUCAGG